UACAGGGGGGGCAAGCGUUGUUCGGAAUUACUGGGCGUAAAGGGCUCGUAGGCGGCCAACUAAGUCCGACGUGAAAUCCCCAGGCUUAACCUGGAAACUGCGUCGGAUACUGGAUGGCUUGAAUUCGGGAGAGGGAUGCAGAAUUCCAGGUGUAGCGGUGAAAUGCGUAGAUAUCUGGAGGAAUACCGGUGGCGAAGGCGGCAUCCUGGACCGACAUUGACGCUGAUGAGCGAAAGCUAGGGGAGCAAACGGG
rnacentral:rRNA from 1 species